CGAACACCAGUGGCGAAAGCGGGCUGCUGGGCUUUAACUGACGCUGAGGCACGAAAGCGUGGGUAGCAAACAGGAUUAGAUACCCUGGGUAGUCCACGCUGUAAACGAUGAUUACUAGGUGUGGGGGGUCUGACCCCUUCCGUGCCGGAGUUAACACAAUAAGUAAUCCACCUGGGGAGUACGGCCGCAAGGUUGAAACUCAAAGGAAUUGACGGGGGCCCGCACAAGCAGUGGAGUAUGUGGUUUAAUUCGAAGCAACGCGAAGAACCUUACCAGGUCUUGACAUCCUACUAACGAGAUAGAGAUAUGUUAGGUGCCCUUCGGGGAAAGUAGAGACAGGUGGUGCAUGGUUGUCGUCAGCUCGUGUCGUGAGAUGUUGGGUUAAGUCCCGCAACGAGCGCAACCCUUGCUAUUAGUUGCUACGCAAGAGCACUCUAAUAGGACUGCCGUUGACAAAACGGAGGAAGGUGGGGACGACGUCAAAUCAUCAUGCCCCUUAUGACNUGGGCUACACACGUACUACAAUGGACAUUAACAGAGGGAAGCAAUACAGUGAUGUGGAGCAAACCCCUAAAAAUGUUCUCAGUUCAGAUUGCAGGCUGCAACCCGCCUGUAUGAAGAUGGAAUUGCUAGUAAUCGCAGAUCAGCAUGCUGCGGUGAUACGUUCCCGGG
rnacentral:rRNA from 1 species